CACUGAUCUCAGCUCGAUGAGGACCUUCCAGACAUAGUGACCUCGUAUGAGAGAGACCCUGGCAACCUGAACUUAAAAUUAAAGACCUUGGAUGUUAUUCGGACCACUAGAUCUGACUCAGGCUGCACUUCAAGGGACCACAUGAUGAAGAUGGACACCUUUAAACCUCCAGAGCCAAAAUGGGAUGCAAGGCUAACACUGCCUGAAAUGCCUUGGCCUCCCAAAUCAGCUUCCUACACCAGACACAGGCGGAGAAGAGGAGCAUACAGCGCCUUCUUGGACCGUGUGGAGGAGAAACUAUCACGUUCAUGGAGCACUAGGUCAUGAUUCUGUAUCAGUUAUAAACUUUAAGAAAGGUCUAUUAAAUGUGCAUAUUUGACUUCUUACUAUAAAAAUGUUGUGGUCAAACUAACAGACAAUAGAAAGGGCUGUAUU